rnacentral:rRNA from 1 species
UGGGGAAUAUUGCGCAAUGGGCGAAAGCCUGACGCAGCGACGCCGCGUGAGGGAUGAAGGUUUUCGGAUCGUAAACCUCUGUCAGAAGGGAAGAAACCGCACUGUGCUAAUCAGCAGUGCCUUGACGGUACCUUCAAAGGAAGCACCGGCUAACUCCGUGCCAGCAGCCGCGGUAAUACGGAGGGUGCAAGCGUUAAUCGGAAUUACUGGGCGUAAAGCGCACGUAGGCUGCUUUGUAAGUCAGGGGUGAAAUCCCACGGCUCAACCGUGGAACUGCCUUUGAUACUGCUUAGCUUGAAUCCGGGAGAGGGUGGCGGAAUUCCAGGUGUAGGAGCGAAAUCCGUAGAUAUCUGGAGGAACAUCAGUGGCGAAGGCGGCCACCUGGACCGGUAUUGACGCUGAGGUGCGAAAGCGUGGGGAGCAAACAGG